rnacentral:tRNA from 1 species
GGGAAGGUGGCUCAGUGGUAGAGCACUUGCCUUGCAUGCAUGAGGCCCUGGCUUCUAUUCCU